rnacentral:rRNA from 1 species
AGCGUAUAUUAAAGUUGUUGCAGUUAAAAAGCUCGUAGUUGAAUUUCGGGAUCAAUUAGUCGGUCGUGCCUCUGGUACGUACUGGUUUUAUUGGUUCCUCCCUUCUGACGAAACAUGAUGUCAUUAAUUUGGUGUCGUGGAGAAUCAGGACUGUUACCUUGAAAAAAUUAGAGUGUUUAUAGCAGGCUAACGCUUGAAUACAUUAGCAUGGAAUAAUGAAAUAGGACGUUCGACCCUAUUUUGUUGGUUUCUAGGAUCGACGUAAUGAUUAAUAGGGAUAGUUAGGGGCAUUAGUAUUCAAUUGUCAGAGGUGAAAUUCUUGGAUUUAUUGAAGACUAACUACUGCGAAAGCAUUUGCCAAGGAUGUUUUCAUUAAUCAAGAACGAAAGUUAGGGGAUCGAAGACGAUCAGAUACCGUCGUAGUCUUAACCAUAAACUAUGCCGACUAGGGAUCGGAUGAUGUUAAUUCUUUAAUGACUCAUUC